GCCCUGGCCCCAGGCUCCUCAUGCCUAAGCCCCAGAAAGAGGAAAGAGCUGGAUCACAGAAGAGGGUCUAGGGGACAGAUU
rnacentral:pre_miRNA from 1 species